UACAGAGGUCUCAAGCGUUGUUCGGAUUCAUUGGGCGUAAAGGGCGCGUAGGCUGCGGGGUAAGUCGGGUGUGAAAUCUCAGAGCUCAACUCUGAAAUUGCACUUGAUACUGCUCUGCUAGAGGACUGGAGAGGAGAUUGGAAUUCACGGUGUAGCAGUGAAAUGCGUAGAUAUCGUGAGGAAGACCAGUGGCGAAGGCGGAUCUCUGGACAGUUCCUGACGCUGAGGCACGAAGGCCAGGGGAGCAAACGGG
rnacentral:rRNA from 1 species